UCAGAUUCUGAAUAAAUCUUAAAAUACAUAUGUAAUCCUUUUAUUAAAUUUUUUUAAUUUAAAUAUAUCAAAAUUAAAAAGAUAAAUAAAUAUCUUGCUGACACGGCCAUGCUUGUUUAGUAUAUAUAUAAAAGCAGACAGGAGUCGGUUGUCCUAAACAACUUAAGCCAAAGCACAAUUUUUUCAUUUCACAUAUCACUCUAAGGGUAUUUUCGUCCUUCCACCGCAAUCUCUAAGGAUAUUUUUGUCCUUCCACAGCUAUCUCAACCACCGCAAAAAACUCUAUUCCUCGAAAAUUCAACCCCGGCAAAAGAAACCCCAGAAUCCAGAUGGAAAAAUUGAAGAAAAACAAGCACAAGAGGCCUGCCAGCUUAAGCGGAAGGGCAUUACUGUAAUUUCAAAAUUUCCCACAUUAAAAAACCUCCAUUUCAAAGGACAUUUUUGUCAUUUCACAAUAAUUUCAGGCGACCCUUUCCGAUGAACAACCGGAGUUAUUCAUUUUUGGCACUUCUCCGCCUCCGAUCUACAUAGCUUUCCGUAUAUAUUUCCCUUUCAAAUUUCUCCGACUUAGUUCUCCGUGAAAUUUGUGAACAAAAAUCCUUUUCGAUUUCCAGCAACAAGAUCAAGUAACUCUAAACCCAUUGCAUGCAACAUCAUUGCAACACAAAAAAUCAAAUAUAUACGCAAAAUUGAAUGAAAAAUUCGACAAUCGAAUAAAAAUGGACAAAAUAAGAGCCCCCCAAAAAAAAUUACAGAUAUCGAUUGUCGUUGUAGAACUUAAGAUAACUUGGAAGAAGAAGGUGAAAAACAGUGGAAGAAAGGAAAUAAAAAAGAAAAGACCGAGAAAUUGGAAAAGGCAUUGAAAAGGAAAGAGGAUUUUUAUUUUUAUAUUUGGGUCAGAUUUAGAAAGUGGUCUUCCUCAAUAUUUUUUCGUAUUACUAUUCUUUAUGGGUCUUGGGCCAGCCUCUUGUUUUUUUAUUUUUAUUUUUUAUUAUUAGUAAAAUGGCUGAAAAGCCACAAAAAGUUAUUUUUAAAAAAAAAAAAAAAAAAACAGAGGAGGUAUUGGAUACAAAAUGUUUUUGUGUAAUUUUUUUUUAAAAUUAAUAUGUGAGUUAGAUGUCCUCACGUCAACAUUUUGGAGACUUUAUAUUUUCUCCAUUUUAAUUUAUUUUAUUUUCUGUAUUUUUA
rnacentral:lncRNA from 1 species